UGGUGAGCGGCGGCGUGGCAAAUCUCUUAUAAGAGGAUUUGUUCGCGUUGCUCAUCCACA
rnacentral:pre_miRNA from 1 species